rnacentral:ncRNA from 1 species
UUCAGUUAAAGGCAAACCAGUCGAAAGGCUGGGACGCAAAACUUCAGGUCUAAGGUCCUUAGGACUAGGAUAGCUGGGUUUCCUGA